AACGAACGCUGGCGGCAGGCCUAACACAUGCAAGUCGAACGCCCUGGCAACAGGGAGUGGCAGACGGGUGAGUAACGCGUGCGAACGUGCCCUUCGGUUCGGAAUAACUCAGGGAAACUCGAGCUCAUACCGGAUACGUGCGAGAGCAGAAAGAUUUAUCGCCGAAGGAUCGGCCCGCGUCCGAUUAGAUAGUUGGUGAGGUAACGGCUCACCAAGGCGACGAUCGGUAGCUGGUCUGAGAGGAUGAUCAGCCACACUGGGACGGAGACACGGCCCAGACUCCUACGGGAGGCAGCAGUGGGGAAUAUUGGACAAUGGGCGCAAGCCUGAUCCAGCCAUGCCGCGUGAAGGAUGAAGGCCCUAGGGUUGUAAAGCUCUUUCGCCAGGGACGAUAAUGACGGUACCUGGAUAAGAAGCCCCGGCUAACUUCGUGCCAGCCGCCGCUGUAA
rnacentral:rRNA from 1 species